UAUUCCAUUAUCUGCUGAGUCAUAUUUUCAUGGAGACAAGGAAGAGGCAGUAACAGUUGAUAGCAAUCCUAUAUUGUCUCUCUUCUCACAUUGAGAUAACAUAACUACAACCUGCAUCCAUAACAAGUUGCCCUUUAUAAGGUUGGCCAGGAGUUGACAUCUGAUAGUCAACUGUUAUGGGACAGUGGGAGUGUCAGAAUGCUGAAAGCAGAUUACUAAAGGUUGUUAGCCUAUUGCACAACCCCUAUGUCCCAGGGAGGGUGAUGCACCUUCUGUCAGGCCCCUUUCCUAACAGACCUGACCGGCUUUUAAGUACCUGCCAUGAGUGAUGAGCUCCCGCUGGUAUAGCUCUGAGGAUCAUUGAGGCAUAUUAGCUGUCACACCACGUCAAGCUGAUCCUCAUGACUGAUCUCAGUGCAGCUGACCACUGUCCUUGUUUAAAGAACAGCAAUUGGGAACCACUAGAAUGACAACUCAAUCAGAAUCAACCAGCCACUGAAAUAUGCUUAAAUCUUUCCAUUGAAGUCUGUGAUGUGUUAUGUUCUAAUAUUGACUUGAGUGUAACAAACUCACUAGAGACUAUGACAACAAUGAAUGCGGCUGUGUAAUCAACACACUGGAGUCAUUGAUUCAUUGACACUCUUCCUACUUUUGAAUCUUCAUUCCCUGAGCUGUAUCUGGGUCAAUAGGCCACAUGUAGUUUACCUGUACCUGGUAGAUUAUUUUAACACCAACC